rnacentral:lncRNA from 1 species
UUGGGACACGACAAUCGCUGAAGCAAUUAUUUCUGCAUCUCCAAGUCAGAUACGCACAUUAUUUGCUAUCAUCAUUUCAACAUGGUUCCCAUCGAACCCACAUGACCUGUGGAACAAAUACAAAGAUAACAUGUCCGAAGAUAUUUUACAUCGAAUUCGCGUCAGCUCAAGAAAUUACGAUCUUGAGGUGAAUGAGGAGAUCCAUAACCAGACUUUGCUCUUGAUCGAAGAUAUGUGUUACCUCAUGUGCGGCAGUUUGUUAGUUAGGUUAGGAAUGCCAGCGCCAGAUCGCGAAAUGAAUGACGCAUUUAAUAGAGAAUUGGAACGUGAAAAUGAAUAUGAUCCACAUGAACUAAUCCAAUCAGUUCAAACGAAUGUACCUCUGUUGAAUCCUAAGCAGAGGGAAGUCUAUGAUACACUGAUUAAUGCAAUUGAUGAUGGAAAUGGCGGCUUAUUUUUUUUGGAUGCCCCCGGUGGAACUGG